rnacentral:rRNA from 1 species
GUCUAAGUAUAAACGCUUCUAUACUGUGAAACUGCGAAUGGCUCAUUAAAUCAGUUAUAGUUUAUUUGAUGGUUCCUUACUACUUGGAUAACCGUAGUAAUUCUAGAGCUAAUACAUGCAGAAAGUCCCGACUUCUUGGAAGGGAUGUAUUUAUUAGAUCCAAAACCAGCGCGAGUUUCCUUCGGGGGCUCGGUUGCAUGGUGAUUCAUGAUAACUGCUCGAAUCGCAUGGCCUUGCGCCGGCGAUGAUCCAUUCAAAUUUCUGCCCUAUCAACUUUCGAUGGCAAGGUAGUGGCUUGCCAUGGUGACAACGGGUGACGGAGAAUUAGGGUUCGAUUCCGGAGAGGGAGCCUGAGAAACGGCUACCACAUCCAAGGAAGGCAGCAGGCGCGCAAAUUACCCAAUCCCGACUCGGGGAGGUAGUGACAAUAAAUAACAAUGCUGGGCUAUCGUAGUCUGGCAAUUGGAAUGAGUACAAUCUAAACCCCUUAACGAGGAACAAUUGGAGGGCAAGUCUGGUGCCAGCAGCCGCGGUAAUUCCAGCUCCAAUAGCGUAUAUUAAAGUUGUUGCAGUUAAAAAGCUCGUAGUUGGAUUUCGGGGCAGCCCGGCUGGUCCGUCGCGAGGCGAGUACUGGUCGGCCGCCCUUCCUCUCGAAAGCCCCGACUGCUCUUCACUGCAGUGGUCGGGGAGUUCGGGACGUUUACUUUGAAAAAAUUAGAGU